AUUAGAUUAAAAACCAAUGCCCCUUCGGGCUCUCUGGUGAUUCAUGAUAACUUCUCGAAUCGCAUGCCCUUGCGCCGGCGAUGGUUCAUUCAAAUUUCUUCCCUAUCAACUUUCGAUGUUUGGGUAUUGGCCAAACAUGGUUGCAACGGGUAACGGAGGGUUAGGGCUCGACCCCGGAGAAGGAGCCUGAGAAACGGCUACUACAUCCAAGGAAGGCAGCAGGCGCGCAAAUUACCCAAUCCCGACUCGGGGAGGUAGUGACAAUAAAUACUGAUACAGGGUUCUUUCGGAUCUUGUAAUUGGAAUGAGUACAAUUUAAAUCCCUUAACGAGGAACAAUUGGAGGGCAAGUCUGGUGCCAGCAGCCGCGGUAAUUCCAGCUCCAAUAGCGUAUAUUAAAGUUGUUGUGGUUAAAAAGCUCGUAGUUGAACCUUGGGCCUGGCUGGCCGGUCCGCCUCACCGCGUGUACUGGUCCGGCCGGGCCUUUCCCUCUGUGGAACCCUAUGCCCUUCACUGGG
rnacentral:rRNA from 1 species